GCAAGCUUUCUCAGACCAUUUAGAGCAUAGCUCUCCAAACUGUGUGGUGCAACACAGUGUGUUAGUCACACAGUCUGAGUGUUUUGCGUGGAGUGUCCAACAGGAAGGGGAGCGCAUUGCCCAACCUGAUGGUCACUUCAUGUAGCAUUUAAUUCCUGCUGGUCACUUCAUGUAGCAUAGCCGAGCAGGCGGACCGCGGUAGAAGCUCCUCUACUAGGUUCUGCCUGCUCAGCCUUGC